AACGAACGCUGGCGGCAGGCUUAACACAUGCAAGUCGAACGGGUGCAGCAAUGCAUCAGUGGCAGACGGGUGAGUAACACGUGGGAACCUUCCUAGGGGUACGGAACAACUCAGGGAAACUUGAGCUAAUACCGUAUACGUCCGUGAGGAGAAAGAUUUAUUCGCCCUUAGACGGGCCCGCGUCGGAUUAGCUAGUUGGUGGGGUAACGGCCUACCAAGGCGACGAUCCGUAGCUGAUCUUAGAGGAUGAUCAGCCACACUGGGACUGAGACACGGCCCAGACUCCUACGGGAGGCAGCAGUGGGGAAUCUUGGACAAUGGGCGCAAGCUUGAUCCAGCCAUGCCGCGUGAGUGAAGAAGGUCUUCGGAUUGUAAAGCUCUUUUGCCAGGGACGAUAAUGACGGUACCUGGAGAAUAAGCCCCGGCAAACUUCGUGCCAGCCGCCGCAGUAAUAC
rnacentral:rRNA from 1 species